rnacentral:rRNA from 1 species
UACAGAGGUCUCAAGCGUUGUUCGGAAUUACUGGGCGUAAAGGGUGCGCAGGCCGCGCGGGCAGUCAAAUGUGUAAUCCAGGGGCUCAACCCCUGAACUGCGCUUGAUACUUCCGCGCUCGAGCUUUGGAGAGGAGUCUGGAAUUCUCGGUGUAGCAGUGAAAUGCGUGGAUAUCGAGAAGAACACUUAGGGCGAAGGCAAGACUCUGGACAAAUGCUGACGCUCAUGCACGAAGGCUAGGGUAGCGAACAGG